GUCUUUUUAUAUAUCGAGUUUCCCCCUGCGUUAAAUUAUACGUUGAAAAAAAGGAAAGAAGGGAGGGAAAAAAAGGGUUGAUCGUGAAAAGCGACCGCCUCGACCUUCACCCUGGGAGCGCAACACGUGUAGCGAAAGGUACGUUAAUAAUAAAUAACUUACCGGUAUGAUCAGUAUGUCGUUGAUGAUUCCUGACGUAUGGAGGUGCUGGAUGCCUGGUCUGCAUAUUCCAGUAGGAGCUUCGACUGUUCCCAAAAUUAUUGACUCGCGGCUGUUGCGAAGGCGAAGUCUGCUUGCAAGAUCCUCGGCUACGCGCAAAAAUUCCACCGCAAUGAUCAUUACCGAUCGCACUGAAAAUUCCCUCUCGUCGCCUUGCCAUCGGUUUUAUACGGAAAGACUCCUGGAAGCGACGAUUUCUCGGUAGCGGCGUGCAAUCUCGUAAAUGACACGGACGAAUAAAGUCAUAAGGGACUCGCGAGCACGGAAUCAAAGUCGAAUGACUCGAACGAUGGCCAGCGCGAGCUCGUUUAUCAUCCAACGAGAAAUAUUAUCAUUCCAUAGGAAAGCGUGUUAUUUCGACGACGGUAAUGACAAUCGAUAUAAAAGCAACGGAUGUGCAAUUUAGAAUAGAAGCCGUAAAAAAAUAGCAAUUAGUUUGAAGUAAACUAGUAAAAAGAUAAUUGAAAAGUGAAGGGAUAAAGUAAGGAAUUUCACAAAAUAGCCUUACUGGAAAAAAUUAAAUUUUGAUACUUUGGUCUAACUCAAAAGAAAACAGAAUUCGAUUCAACUGUGUUGUUAAUAAUAUGAAGCCUAUAUGUACUUUGAUUAAACGUCAUAAAACAGAAUAAUUAAUAAAAUAUCAAUUAUUUUACAUUUAAUUAUAUCCGUGU
rnacentral:misc_RNA from 1 species